rnacentral:tRNA from 1 species
GCACUAGUAGCUCAGCUUUAGAGCAUCGGUCUUGUAAACCGAACGCCGGAGGUUAAAAUCCACCCUAAUGCU